rnacentral:rRNA from 1 species
GAUGAACGCUGGCGGCGUGCCUAAUACAUGCAAGUCGAGCGAACAGACGAGGAGCUUGCUCCUCUGACGUUAGCGGCGGACGGGUGAGUAACACGUGGAUAACCUACCUAUAAGACUGGGAUAACUUCGGGAAACCGGAGCUAAUACCGGAUAAUAUAUUGAACCGCAUGGUUCAAUAGUGAAAGACGGUUUUGCUGUCACUUAUAGAUGGAUCCGCGCCGCAUUAGCUAGUUGGUAAGGUAACGGCUUACCAAGGCAACGAUGCGUAGCCGACCUGAGAGGGUGAUCGGCCACACUGGAACUGAGACACGGUCCAGACGCCUACGGGAGGCAGCAGUAGGAAUCUUCCGCAAUGGGCGAAAGCUUGACGGAGCAACGCCGCGUGAGUGAUGAAGGUCUUCGGAUCGUAAAACUCUGUUAUUAGGGAAGAACAAAUGUGUAAGUAACUAUGCACGCCUUGACGGUACCUAAUCAGAAAGCCACGGCUAACUACGUG